AUUUAUAUAGUUUAAUAAUAAAACAUUACAUUUUCAUUGUAAAAUUAAAAAACUCUUUUUUAUAAAUA
rnacentral:tRNA from 1 species